rnacentral:sRNA from 1 species
UUUUUUGUAUUUUUUUUUUGUUGUAGAA